rnacentral:lncRNA from 1 species
AGGGGAGAAGUCAACAAUACCAAAUCUAUUUGAUGCUUCAAAAAUUCCUGGACAACAAGGAUGUAACGAAUUGAAUAAAGCAUCAGCUCUGGUUACUACUAAGCCUACCAAUACAACUGAAAUAUGCAAAGGACAGCAUUACAAGUCAAUGUGCAGCAGCUAGUAGCAGGGGAGGUAAAUGUACCAGCUAGUGUAGAUCCAAAUUUUAAGGCAAAUGUAGCAUUGGAUGGCUUUAUAUGGACUAGGAAAAAUGAAGAGGUGGAUGAUCAGUUUGAUGUUAUGGAAUUGGAGUUUGCAGCAUCUAUUACAAAGGGUAACAAGAGACCAACUGGACAGUAGAUACUGAAGCAGCUAC